GCUUGUCUCAAAGAUUAAGCCAUGCAUGUCUAAGUAUAAAUGAUAUACAGUAAAACUGCGAAUGGCUCAUUAAAACAGUUAUAGUUUAUUUGGUAAUCGAAUUUACAUGGAUAACCGUGGUAAUUCUAGAGCUAAUACAUGCUGUAAAGCCCGACUUCUCGGAAGGGCCGUAUUUAUUAGAUAACAGACCAAUAUUCCUCGUGUCUAUUGUGGUGAAUCAUAGUAACUGAUCGGAUCGCAUGGGCUACGCCCGCGACAAACCAUUCAAGUUUCUGCCCCAUCAGCUUUCGAUGGUAGUGUAUUGGACUACCAUGGCUUUUACGGGUAACGGAGGAUUAGGGUUCGAUUCCGGAGAGGGAGCCUGAGAAACGGCUACCACAUCUAAGGAAGGCAGCAGG
rnacentral:rRNA from 1 species